rnacentral:rRNA from 1 species
CACAGCCGCGGUAAUACGUAGGUGGCAAGCGUUGUCCGGAAUUAUUGGGCGUAAAGGGCUCGCAGGCGGUUUCUUAAGUCUGAUGUGAAAUCCCUCGGCUUAACCAAGGAAGUGCAUCCGAAACUGCAGAGCUUGAGUACUUAAGAGGAUCGCGGAAUUCCCGGUGUAGAGGUGAAAUUCGUAGAUAUCGGGAGGAACACCAGUGGCGAAGGCGGCGAUCUGGGAAGAUACUGACGCUGAGGUGCGAGAGCGUGGGGAGCAAACAGGAUUAGAUACCCCCGUAGUCCCUGUCUCUUAUACC